CAGGCACUAACUGACACGAAAUUAGAGAGCUGUUCGUGUAGAUGGAGGACCAGGUAACAUGCAAAAGCCAAAUCUUAGUAUGCAUAGGAUUCUUAAUAAAGCUAAAUAAAUGUAGUCAUCGCAUUGAAAAUGCAGAGAAGAGCAAACCUGGAAAGUUUCUGAUGAGCUGGUAAGUGGAAAUUAAUUGUAUAAAACUUGUAAUUACAAACUAGAUGUGUAACAUUUCCUAGAUAUGCUUCUUUGGUAUGUGGCCUCUAUUAUCAUUGUGAUAUUUUUCCUGUAAGAUCUCAAGUUUCUUAAUCUUAAAAUCUACCAAGCUGUCAGGUUGGGGAGGGAGCGCUAACAGUAGUGCCUACCUGCCCUGUGGGUACUGGCAUCUGUGUGCACAGAAAGCUCAUGGGCCAGCACAAGGAGGCUCCAUCUAGAGACCCAGGCAUGUGGCACAGACGGUGCAUGCCCUUACGGAGGUCUGAGCUCUGUGCUCGGAAACCAUGAACUCUGCUUGGGGAGCUGAGGUAGGGAGGGUUGAAGGGAGAUGGCAUAGAGCAAGAGUCCUAAAGGAAGAAGAGAGAGAAGGACAUUUCUGAUAGAGCAUACAACACAGGCAAAGGCCUCAGGGUGUGAGAGGCCAUGGCUUGCCUGAGAUCGAGGGCGCAAGGCAGGGCGGGGGAUGGGAAAAGUGUUGGGGCCACACUCUGAUAGCUCAACCAGAACACACUGUCUCUUGCCUCUAGGCAACAGGAGCCUUGGGAGGAUGCUGCAUAUUGUGGGGGUGGGGGGGGUGGGGGGUGGGUUUAGACCCGAUUUGGGAAAAUAACUGGCAGAGGGGCAAUGUGUGUUGGAGGGGAGAGAGCUUUGCAGCUCCUGGGAGAACACGAGGAGCGCCAGAGCUGGGCAGUGACUGUCGAAGGAGGGCGGAGUCCAGAGGUGCUUGGUGGUAGAAAGUCAGCGAAGUGAGGAUGAGAUUUGGAGGUGACAGGGAGGGAGGGGCUGGAGAUUUAUGACUUGGCGCAAUUAGGUGGACGGGGCUGUCACUGAGUCAGGGAAGGCAGAGGAAGAACAGGUUUGGGGUGGAGGCAUGGAGGAGGGGUGGUGAGGAUAUAUGCUAGUUGUAAAUGAUCUAGUUUUCUUCUGAGCAGCUUUUGGGCUCCUUAGAUUCCAAACUGACAUCACCAGGGGUUGAGUCUUGGUGAGGCAGCACGGUAGGCUGGCCAAGCCCACAGACUUCAGCCAACAGCCUGGAAUCAGAGCCCGGCUCCAUGCUUACCAACACGGCCCUGGGGAUGUAAUUGAACCUCUGUGUGUCUCCAGGUCGUCCUUUGUACAAUAUUACAGGACCGUAGGGCUGCUAAAAGUAUGGAUAAAAGAGUCCAUACAUGUGAAAUGCCUGGCCCACUCUAAGCACUAUAUAAAUAUUUGAUAUGGCCACAGGAAUGCCAGGGGCGAAACUUAGGCCCAUUUCCUCCUUCUGUCUUCAAAUAACUUCAGUUUGACUCAAAACCAACAUUUGUAGGCAGACAACUGAGCCCAUUCACAGAAUGGUGAAAUCACUGAAUAGUGAAAACAGUACAGCAGUAGCUGAUCAGAAAGUGGGAAGCUUUUUGUAAUUUUCCCCUUUCUCAUCACUACUUUCAUCAAAGCAUUUACUGAACAUCUGUUGGAUUUAGGGUUCUGUAGGAGCCAUGUCUCACGAAAGCCUGUCUAGUUAGUAAACCAGGACACACAUAAGCAGGCUAUGAUAAUGUCAAAAAUAGGCUGUGCUGUAGGUGCGGAGGAAUUGAAGAAAGUGAGUGGAGACAGAAUGAUCUGAGGGGUGCAGGAUCCUGGGUCCCUACCCUUCCUGGGCAGCAGUGGGAGAUGGGAGGGCGUGAUAGAGCUGGGUUCUAAGAGGCCAUUCCACAGCUCUGACCCUUGGGCUGUGGUGAGGAGGGGCAGGCGAAACCAACAUUACUGACUUUACUACCUGAUUCCCAUUCCACAUGAGGGCCGUGGGCUGCACUUAGCACGGGGCAAUUGCAACAAAACAAAACAACAAAAAACAAAACCAGUUUUAGAGCGGAAGAGCUGACCCUGUGAACUGCUGUGGCAGGAUGGACAGUGGAGGGGGAAGAGGCACAGAGCCCACCUCCCUACCCCCGGGGGCUCUGGGGCCGGAGCAGGUGACCGCUUGGGACCAGAGGAGCCUUUCCAGGGAGAUUUUUAUUCUGGUGUCAGUUGCUAAGGAGAGAAAGGUGGCUUUGUGCCAAUGGAGGGAAAAAGAAAGAUAACAAGGAACUAGACACUGUGGGUGAACUCCUGGCCUCCUGCUGCGAGGCGCCUGAGGACCCUGGGCUCUCCCUCCUCGGUUUGGGCUUCAGAGGACCCUGGGCUCUCCCUCCUCGGUUUGGGCUUCAGAAGGUGGCUCCACUUCUGGGUGGCAGUGACAGGCAGACCUGCUGAGAGCCCAGAGAGAAAUACUACCCUGCAGGGAGAUAAGGUCAUCAACCUGCCACCACUGGUAUAUUCCCAUAAUAAUGUCCACUGGUCCCAGUCGAGAGGCACCCACUCCUUUUCCUCUUGUCUAACACAGGAGUCUCGAGCUGCCUAAAGAAACCCAUUUUUGGGAAGAGGAUUAAAAACAAACAAACAAACAACAAAACUGUGCUCCAAAUGUAUAUAACCCUGUAGAUUAAUGAAACAUUUGGGCCAAAGUUCUGUAUUCUCAUAGGCAAAGACUCUCAUAGUAUUAAUAUAUUCACUGAUUUUAAAUUAUUUUUAACUUAAAGGUUUUGUUUUAAUCUGCUGUGAUGAAAUCUUGGAUCACUAUAGCUGUAAAUGAGUAGAUUUAUCUAGAUAUGUUAAAUGAACAAAUGUAAAAUGUUCGAUACAGCACAGGUGCUUAAUAAGUUGGCUUCAGAGCCGUGUUUUUCCAACAUGUUCUGAUGAUCCAAGUUUGAUACUUAAGACAAUUAAAAACAAGAAAUUUAACUUAGUUUCAGCACAUGUAUGGUAUAUAUAUUUGUAUGGCUAUGAGCUUAGGCUGGUCGUAGACAUAAGACAAUUGAAGCACUCUUUUCCACAGGUAUCGGCCGCAUUCUGUUUCACUCCCUAUAAGCAUUUGAUUUUGCACUACAGGUAUUACUGAGACCAUGUGGAAUCUCACUUAGUUUUAUUUCCCUUUAGGGUAGUUGCCUAAAUCAUAAAAUUAUGCUUCACUGUAGUGGUAGGAAAUCUAAUUUAUUUAUUUAUAAGAUGGAGUCUCAUUCUGUUGCCCAGGCUAGAGUGCAGUGGCAUGAUCUCAGCUCACUGCAACCUCUGCCUCCUGGGUUCAAGCGAUUCUCCUGCCUCAGCCUCUCAAGUAGCUGGGAUUACAGGCACCUGCCACAAACUCUCAGCAAAUUUUUGUAUUUUUAGUAGAGACAGGGUUUCACUAUGUUGGCCAGGCUGAUCUUCAACUCCUGACCUCAAGUGAUGCACCCACCUUGGCCUCCCAAAGUGCUGGGAUAACAGGCAUGAGCCACCCUGUGCCCACACCUGGCCAAGAAAUAAUCUAAUUUUUUUAAAAAGACAUAAAAUGUGUUCAUGAAAGAGAUUCCACCCAAAUCAACACAUAAAUCACUCUAGUGGCAAAGUAGUUUAUUUAUUAUGUUUCCUUAAAGGAGAUUAAGACUCGACUCCUCUCCCAGCCGGGGCAGCCCGGGAACUCAGCGCCCCCCUCCAGUGGUGCCCAGAGCCUCCCAGCGCCAUGUCCAUCUCUCUUCCUCUUGGCAUCCAUUGUGGCACUCAGCCCACCUCUGCCUCAUUUCAUGAUUGUGUGCUUUUGUAGUUUAGAAACAGCUGCGGCAAGCAUUUAGGUAAAGGCCUCAAGCAGACAACCUACAGGGUGCUCCGUGUCAGUGCAGGUGCCUGGGCAGAGAAGCUGCGGCACAGCUGCAGAGGAGCCGUUAGGAGGGGGUCACGGGCUGCAAGUUCCACAGUGGGGCCCUGUUGUCCCAGCCAGCAGAAGCACCAGUGACUGUCCCACCCUGGAGCCUGGAGCGAACCAGAGGACUUGUUAAAACAGAUUGUUGGACCCACACUGUGUUUCUGGAUUGGGAGUCAGGAGUAGGCCUGAGAAUGUGCAUUUCUAAUGAGUGCCCAGGUAAUGCUGAUGUCACUGGUCCAGGGACCACACUUUGAGAACCAAUGUGAUAAUCAAGAAAUGUCUUUUGAAUCAAAUUUACUAAAAUAUUCAUAAACCUUUCUCCACCCGAAGGAUGCAAACGAAAGGGAGACACAGAGACUGUCAAAGCUAUAGGCAGUCUGCAGGUGAUGAUUUUAUUUUUUUAAAUGUGGUUUGGAAUCUGGAGUCUGAGACCUGGACCCAAAUCUCACCACAGCUUUGUGCUGGCUGAGCACCCUGGGAAGGAAGGUAACUUCACAGCGGAACCCCUAGCCCCACACCUAUUAUCUAAAGACGAUUGCAUGGCCCCCAGAACAGUGGGGACUGAAUUUCGUAUGGCAGGACCUCAUCUGAAUAUACAGUAGGUGCUCAAUACGUGCUAUUACCCUCUUCCCUUUUUGGCAGUAGACAGAUAAGCUUUUUCUAUGACUGAUACCAUUUUUAGAUGUGAAAACACUGACUCCUAGAGAGUAACAUUUCAUCACUAGCCUUCAAUGGUAAUUCAUACAAUUGGAAAUGCAUGGAAAGCCAUAUUUUUCACUUCCUUCUCCUCUCUUGUUAAUCUUAUCUCAUAUUCAUGGGUGGCCCAAAACUUUUCAUAGCUUUGAGCGCUCUGUCCCAAUAUUUUUAAGUACAUGGAACUUGUUAGCAACUUUGAUUUUUUUAUUCAAAGGAAGUGCCAUAACACUUCAAAUCAUGUCAAUUCCAUGACACUCAUCUUCAAAAAAGAUCUUUCAGUUCAAAUCUUAGAAAGCAAGUUUUUAAAUUAUAAAAGAUAUGCUUCUUAUAUUCUCCAAAUCCUGCUCCUGAACAGGGAUAUUGUUUCAAUAGUUUGUUCCUUUUUCACAGCUGAGCAGUGUUUCAUUGUAUGGAUAUCCACCAUGUGUUUAUCCAUUCACCUGCUGAUGGCUGUUUGGGUUGUUUUCCCUUUUUUUUGCUAUUCCAAAUAAAGUUGCUAUGAAUAUUUGUAUACAAGUCUUUGUGUGGAAACAUGCUUUUAUUUUUCUUGGGUAGACACCUAGUAGUGGAAUGGCUGGGUCACAUGGUAGGUCUAAUUUUCACUUUUAAGAAACUACCAAACCAGGCUGGGCGCAGUGGCUCACAUCUGUAAUUCCAGCACUUUGGGAGACAGAGGUGGGAGGAUCACCUGAGGUCACGAGUUCAAGACCAUCCUGAGCAGCAUAGCAAGACCCCAUCAUCUUUACAAAAAAAUAAAAUGUCUAUUGAAUCAAAUUUACUUAAUAUUCACAAACUUUUCUCCACCGGAAGGAUGUGAAGAAGGGGAGACAGAGACUGUUAAAGCUAUAGGCAGUCUGCAGGUGAUUUUUUUUUUUUUAAUGUGGUUUGGAAUCUGGAGUCGGAGACUUGGGCCCAAAUCUCACCACAGCUUUGUGCUGGCUGAGCAUCCUGUAUAUAAUUUAAAUCAAUGUGUAAGUCUCAUUAUAAAAAGUUACAAAAAUUAGGCUGGGCACGGUGGCUCACGCCUGUAAUCCCAGCACUUUAGGAGGCCAAGGCGGGUGGAUCACGAGGUCAGAUCGAGACCAUCCUGGCUAACACGGUGAAACCCCAUCUCUACUAAAAAUUCAAAAAUUAGCUGGCGUGGUGGUGGGCGCCUGUAGUCCCAGCUACUCAGGAGGCUGAGGCAGGAGAAUGGCAUGAAGCCGGGAGGCGGGGCUUGCAGUGAGCCGAGAUCGUGCCACUGCACUCCAGCCUGGGCGACAGAGUGAGACUCUGUCUCAAAAAAAAAAAAAAAGUUGCAAAAAUUAAAAAAUAUUAAAAGUUGUAGUCAGCCAGGCGUGGUGGCUCAUACCUGUAAUCCCAGCACUUUGGGAGGCUGAGGUGGGAGGAUCACUUGAGCCGAGAAUUUCAAGACUAGCCUAGGCAACAUACUGAGACCUCUGUCUCUACAAAAAAUAAAAAAUUUAGCUGGAUAUGAUGGCACAUGCCUGUGGUCUCAGCUAGUCAGGCUCAGGAGGAGCAUUUGAGCCAGGGAGUCAAAGCUGCAGUGAGCCAAGGUCACACCACUGUACUCCAGCCUGGGUGACACAGCAAGACCCUGUCUCAAAAAAAAAAAAAAAAAAAAAAAAAAAAAGAAAAGAAAAAAGAAAACCUUACAAUAAGUGAAACAGGUAGAGAGUAACAAAAUACAUUCAAUUCAAAAUGAACUCUCUAACCACUGCUCACAUCCCCACUACGGUGUACUCAUCAGAGUAGUCAGUGAUACUUUUAUGAUAUACGUUGGAUCACAUCAUUCUUUUGUUUAAAAAUUUCCAGUGGCUUCCUGUGACAUUUGAGAAAAAAGCCAACCGUGGUAAGGUCAUCCUUACCGUGACCUCAGAGCAACCUCUACCAUCCCACCUGCCCAUCUGCUCUCCCUCUCCCCUUUAUCCACAGUGCUCCAGCCACUCUGGACACCCUGCCAGUCCUUGACUGCAUCCAGCAUGCCCCUGCUCAGAACCUCUGCACAUCUUUCCUCUGCCUGGGCUGAUCUCCCCCUGGAUGGCUGCAUGGCUGCUCGUGCUACUGUGUUCCAGGCAAGUUGGUCUCUGCUCUAAUGCCACUGCCCCAGAGGAUCCUCCCUCAGCCGCCCUUUAAAAAAUGGCCUACCUUAUCAUUUAUCUUUUCUUGCUUUUUCUUCAUUGUACUUAAUUCCCUCAAAAAUAAUAUAUAUUUUUACUAUCAGCUUUCACCUAGUUGGAACCUAUGAUCUUUAAAGGUGGGGGUCUUGUUCAGUGCUGUAUCCCCAGUGCUUAGAACAUGCCUGAACACAGGAGUUGCUAUCUGUUGCAUGCAUAAAUGAACUCAGAACAAGAAUGCCUGAUUUUCCAAUGUCCAUACCAGGUUUUACACAUCUUUAUAAUCUUUGCCAAUCCAGUAUGUGGGAAACAGUAUUCAUUUCAAUUUGUAUUUCUUGAGUAUAAGUGAGGUCGAGUAUCCUAUGAUGUUUUUUGGCUUGGCCUUCAGAAAACUAAUUUUUCUUUUCUUUUUUUUUUUUUUGAGACAGAGUCUUGCACUGUCACCCAGGCUGCAGUGCAGUGGCGCAAUCUCGGCUCACUGCAAGCUCCGCCUCCUAGGUUAACGCCAUUCUCCUGCCUCAGCCUCCUGAGUAGCUGGGACUACAGGCGCCCGCCACC
rnacentral:lncRNA from 1 species